rnacentral:rRNA from 1 species
GGAACAUGUCCUGUAGUGGGGGAUAGCCCGGCGAAAGCCGGAUUAAUACCGCAUACGAUCUGAGGAUGAAAGCGGGGGACCUUCGGGCCUCGCGCUAUAGGGUUGGCCGAUGGCUGAUUAGCUAGUUGGUGGGGUAAAGGCCUACCAAGGCGACGAUCAGUAGCUGGUCUGAGAGGACGACCAGCCACACUGGGACUGAGACACGGCCCAGACUCCUACGGGAGGCAGCAGUGGGGAAUUUUGGACAAUGGGCGAAAGCCUGAUCCAGCAAUGCCGCGUGUGUGAAGAANGNCUUCGGGUUGUAAAGCACUUUUGUCCGGAAAGAAAUCCUUGGNUCUAAUAUAGCCGGGGGAUGACGGUACCGGAAGAAUAAGCACCGGCUAACUACGUGCCAGCAGCCGCGGUAAUACGUANGGUGCAAGCGUUAAUCGGAAUUACUGGGCGUAAAGCGUGCGCANGCGGNUUGCUAAGACCGAUGUGAAAUCCCCGGGCUCAACCUGGGAACUGCAUUGGUGACUGGC